rnacentral:rRNA from 1 species
UGCUGCAUGGCUGUCGUCAGCUCGUGUCGUGAGAUGUUCGGUUAAGUCCGCUAACGAGCGCAACCCUCGCUGUGUGUUAUAUGUGUCACACGGGACUGCCGGUCUUAAGCCGGAGGAAGGUGGGGAUGAUGUCAAGUCAGCAUGGCCUUUAUGUCCAGGGCUACACACACGCUACAAUGGUCAGCACAAUAGGUAGCCAAGCCGCGAGGUGGAGCCAAUCCUCAAAGCUGGCCUCAGUUCAGAUCGCAGGCUGCAACCCGCCUGCGUGAAGCCGGAGUUGCUAGUAACCGCAGGUCAGCUAUACUGCGGUGAAUACGUUCCCGGGGCUU